CAUCUCGACGAUCAGUUCCAGACCAACAGAUUCACUGACCACAGCUGGUGCUCUGGUACCUGGCUGGGGCAUCGCUCUGUUAGUGCUGGCAGCCAUAAGUCUCCUGCUUCUCAUCAUUCUUCUCAUCAUUCUGCUGGUGAUGUGCUGCUGUUGGCCGAACAAAAGGACUGUCGUGAAAGAGCCAGAAGUCAUUAUUCCACCCAUGUACUUCAAUCCAGACAUCCCCAUGUACUCGACACACAGCACAAUUGAUUCACCCAAUGGCAAACAAGUGGACGACAGAGAGAAACCUCCAAAAAACCGGACAGGAAUGUACGUGGUGAACAAAUGAAGGACACAGGUCAUCUGACCCACCCCUUCCACUCCCUGUGUGUGUAGAGUGAGGAAUGACUGACGAAAUCUCUAAAGGACUAUCUAUGCACAGGGAUAAGAUUCCAUUUCCAUGUCCAUUUAUUUUCUUACUACUUCAGACAAAACCUCAAUUUACUAUAUACUUUUUUAUACAGUAUUGUCAACACCAGUGUGCUUUAUUAUUAUGAUUUUGCCUAAUUAAAAUGAUUUCCCGAGAAAUGCAGUAAAUAAAAAAGGCAUUUUCACUCAAAUGUGAAUAAAUGGUUUACAUUUGACAUUGAAUUGGUUAAAACAUACAUUUACAUAAACAAAUCUAAAUAACCUAUUAAAAUAUGUGGAAAUUAGAGCUUUAACUUUUAAUUUAAUGUUACUUCAUAAAUGUUACAUUUACACUAUCAAAUCAUAUGUAGAAGAACCUUGUAACGUAUAAAACAAUCAAGACUCUUCAAAAUCAUUUUUUGUGUCACCGUAGAUUGCAACAAAUGUUUAUUUUGAAAUGUCAGAUUUUUCACAUCAGUAAUUAUUGUAUUCAUCCAUUUUUGUUCAAAUAAAUCUGUUUUGCUAUAUAUAUUAUAUGACAUUUAAUAACUUUGUGCCAUGUGUGAAGUUAAUCUCAAAGCAUUUGUUUGAUGACUGAUGUUGUUGUUGUUUUUUUGCAUUGACUAUAUUCUUUAUUCUAACAUCCUUUUACUGUCCAAAAAGUAUUUAAGAUAAAAUAUUACAAUAUUACAACUUGUUUUAUGUAUGCUUUCAGAUCAAUAGAUUUUUUGCCUUAAAGCUGUUGAUCAAGCUGUUGAUGGACACUCCCUGGUUCCACCUCUUCAGAUCGAUGGCAGGUGGAGCUGAUUCUGAUAACACUUAAUAAACUACAGCACAAUGAAAUAAUAUCAAACUGUUUAGUUAUAUGACACAUUAAUCUAAAAAAAGCUACAGCACAUGUGAGGCUCACCCACUGCAUUACGCUGUCAGGGCUGAUAAAGGUAAAUAAAUUGAGUUUCAGUCUUAACAUCACGUGUGUUCUUGAUAACAUGUUUCUGUUCAGUCACUGUACUUGUAGAUUUUUUAACUGUAAUAAAAUUAUACAUUCAUGAGCCUAAUGGAUUGUCAAGAUUUUAGUUAAAUUACCUCUCAAAGGUUUGGAGACAUUUAAGAUAAGCAAAUGAUGCAUUUGAAUACUGCAUUAUUACAAGAUGAGUGUUUUGGCACAUUGUUGGCUGAUGAUCUGACCUAUUUCUUUAAACUGAAUAUUGGAAGCACUGACAGAUUGGCAUCUGUAUGGGAGGCCUCGGCUCAAAGGCAUAUAUUAGAGGGAAAUUUAUAGCUCAAGCAGCAAGAAAGAAAAAGAAGGAAGAGAUUUGGUUAAGAAAUUGGAAACAAGUAUUUAUACAAUGGAGAAUGAGCUGGCUAGACAUUACUCUAAUGAUUUAUAUCAGGAUAUUUGUUUUAUAUCAGGAUAUAUAACACAAAUUUCAGUUACAUGAUAUAUAUAUAAUAAAAAAGCUGAAUAUACAAUAUUUAGACAAUGGACUAGGUUUUAUGAAGGAGGUGAAAAAGCGGGUAAACUCCUUGCCAGACAAGUAAAACAACAAAACACUGCUAACAUCAUUCCGGUCAUUAAGAAAGGGAAUACAAUAGUAUCACUGACAAAGGAAAUAAAUGAGUUUUUUCUUUUAUAAGCAAUUAUAUACAUCUGGUAGUUUGGAUGAAGGAAAGCUGACACCAGUUUUUUCUAAUAUAAAGAUGCCUAAAUUAGAUGUCUUGCCAUCAGAGACGUUCCCAUUACACAAGAAGAGUUCAAAGCUGAAAUAACCUCUAUGAAGCCUGGCAAAUCACCGGGGGUGGCGAGCUUCCACCAGAAUACUACAAAAAGUAUGUCGAAAUAUUGG